rnacentral:rRNA from 1 species
AGUGAACGCUGGCGGUAGGCCUAACACAUGCAAGUCGAACGGCAGCACAGUAAGAGCUUGCUCUUACGGGUGGCGAGUGGCGGACGGGUGAGGAAUACAUCGGAAUCUACUUUUUCGUGGGGGAUAACGUAGGGAAACUUACGCUAAUACCGCAUACGACCUACGGGUGAAAGCAGGGGAUCUUCGGACCUUGCGCGAUUGAAUGAGCCGAUGUCGGAUUAGCUAGUUGGCGGGGUAAAGGCCCACCAAGGCGACGAUCCGUAGCUGGUCUGAGAGGAUGAUCAGCCACACUGGAACUGAGACACGGUCCAGACUCCUACGGGAGGCAGCAGUGGGGAAUAUUGGACAAUGGGCGCAAGCCUGAUCCAGCCAUGCCGCGUGGGUGAAGAAGGCCUUCGGGUUGUAAAUCCCUUCUGUUGGGAAAGAAAAGCAGCGGGUUAAUACCGCGCUGUUCUGACGGUACCCAAAGAAUAAGCACCGGCUAACUUCGUG